GGAAUAUUGGUCAAUGGACGCAAGUCUGAACCAGCCAUGCCGCGUGAAGGAUGAAGGUCCUCUGGAUUGUAAACUUCUUUUAUCUGGGACGAAAACGGGAUUUUUAUCUCAAUUGACGGUACCAGAGGAAUAAGCACCGGCUAACUCCGUGCCAGCAGCCGCGGUAAUACGGAGGGUGCGAGCGUUAGCCGGAUUUACUGGGUUUAAGGGGUGCGUAGGUGGGAUUAUAAGUCAGUGGUGAAAUCUCCGAGCUUAACUUGGAAACUGCCGUUGAUACUAUAGGUCUUGAAUUAUCUGGAGGUGAGCGGAAUAUGUCAUGUAGCAGUGAAAUGCUUAGAUAUGACAUAGAACACCAAUUGCGAAGGCAGCUUACUACGUAUAAAUUGACGCUGAAGCACGAAAGCGUGGGGAUCAAACA
rnacentral:rRNA from 1 species